GAGUUUGAUCUUGGCUCAGGAUGAACGCUAGCGGCAGGCUUAAUACAUGCAAGUCGAGGGGCAGCAUGGUUGUAGCAAUACAACUGAUGGCGACCGGCAAACGGGUGCGGAACACGUACACAACCUUCCUUCGAGCGGGGAAUAGCCCAGAGAAAUUUGGAUUAAUACCCCAUAGCAUAUUGAAGAGGCACCUCUUUAAUAUUAAAGAUUUAUCACUUGAAGAUGGGUGUGCGGC
rnacentral:rRNA from 1 species